UUUUUUUUUUGAGAUCGUUAUGUAAACGGUAUUAAAAUCGCUUGCGACAGGAUUAAUGAGUCUACAGCUGGAAUGUUCAUACGAGAAUGUUGUUCGUAUGACACUUAGAAGGAGAACCACACUACAUAAGGAACAAUCCGUUUCCCGCCGUACUGACGGAUUCCUUUGAGGGAACACAUAGAGAGAAGUGCAGGUAAUAUCCAACCAAACUUCACAGCUUUCUCCAUCUGCCAGUGCAAAGGAACAAUUUCUGUAAAAGAAUGUUUAAAUAAAGAAAAUUUAUUUAUCGAAAAAUACAGAACACGCCUAAAUAUGAACACA
rnacentral:lncRNA from 1 species